rnacentral:rRNA from 1 species
CGUACACUCCUACGGGAGGCAGCAGUAGGGAAUCUUCCACAAUGGGUGCAAACCUGAUGGAGCAAUGCCGCGUGAGUGAAGAAGGUCUUCGGAUCGUAAAGCUCUGUUGUUAGAGAAGAACACGUGCUAGGUAACUACUAGCGCCUUGACGGUAUCUAACCAGAAAGUCACGGCUAACUACGUGCCAGCAGCCGCGGUAAUACGUAGGUGACAAGCGUUGUCCGGAUUUAUUGGGCGUAAAGGGAGCGCAGGCGGUCUGUUUAGUCUAAUGUGAAAGCCCACGGCUUAACCGUGGAACGGCAUUGGAAACUGACAGACUUGAAUGUAGAAGAGGAAAAUGGAAUUCCAAGUGUAGCGGUGGAAUGCGUAGAUAUUUGGAGGAACACCAGUGGCGAAGGCGAUUUUCUGGUCUAACAUUGACGCUGAGGCUCGAAAGCGUGGGGAGCGAACAGGAUUAGAUACCCCAGUAGUCCC